GGGUCGGCUCGCCUAUUUAGCGUGGGCAGCAGUCUGUAAAACUGUCGCCUCUGUGCAUUGCAGGUGCGAAUCCUGCUCGACCCA
rnacentral:tRNA from 1 species